CUCAAUAAAUUGACCAACCAAUGAGUACUUCCACUGUUGAAUGCCUUCAUCAAAAACCUUUGCAGGCGACUUUACCAGAACCUCCCUAUCACAGAUCUGAGGAGGGAAAAAAAAGUGACUAACCCCCAGAAGAAUCAAAAAGACUUCUCCAAUCAAGAGACAAUGCAGUCAUUAACAAGCAAGCAGAAAUCAAUUGAAGUAACAAUGAAGAACAGA
rnacentral:lncRNA from 1 species